rnacentral:rRNA from 1 species
CGGCGAGUGAAGCGGCAACAGCUCAAAUUUGAAAUCUGGCUCUUUCAGGGUCCGAGUUGUAAUUUGUAGAGGAUGCUUCGGGUACGACCUUGGCCUAAGUUCCUUGGAACAGGACGUCAUAGAGGGUGAGAAUCCCGUACAUGGCUGCCGGUCACUCCCAUGUGAAGCUCCUUCGACGAGUCGAGUUGUUUGGGAAUGCAGCUCAAAAUGGGUGGUAAAUUUCAUCUAAAGCUAAAUACUGGCCAGAGACCGAUAGCGCACAAGUAGAGUGAUCGAAAGAUGAAAAGCACUUUGAAAAGAGAGUUAAACAGUAUGUGAAAUUGUUGAAAGGGAAGCGCUUGCAACCAGACUUGCUCACAGUUGAUCAACCGACAUUCUUGCCGGUGCACUCUUCUGUGAUCAGGCCAGCAUCAGUUUGGGUGGUCAGAUAAAGGUUCUGGGAACGUAGCACCUUUCGGGGUGUGUUAUAGCCCAGUUCGCAAUGUGGCCCACCUGGACUGAGGUUCGCGCUUCGGCUCGGAUGCUGGCGUAAUGGUUGUAAGCGACCCGUCUUGAAACACGGACCAAGGAGUCUAACAUCUAUGCGAGUGUUUGGGUGUCAAACCCUUGCGCGUAAUGAAAGUGAACGGAGGUGGGAACCCUUAAGGGUGCACCAUCGACCGAUCCUGAUGUCUUCGGAUGGAUUUGAGUAAGAGCAUAGCUGUUGGGACCCGAAAGAUGGUGAACUAUGCCUGAAUAGGGUGAAGCCAGAGGAAACUCUGGUGGAGGCUCGCAGCGGUUCUGACGUGCAAAUCGAUCGUCAAAUUUGGGUAUAGGGGCGAAAGACUAAUCGA